ACUCCUACGGGAGGCAGCAGUAGGGAAUAUUGGACAAUGCCGGGAGCGUGAUCCAGCCAUGCCGCGUGCGUGAUGAAGGCCUUCGGGUUGUAAAGCUCUUUCGGCCGGGAAGAAAUCGCUGUUUCUAAUACCCGCAUUGGAUGACGGUACCGGAAGAAUAAGCACCGGCUAACUACGUGCCAGCAGCCGCGGUAAU
rnacentral:rRNA from 1 species